rnacentral:rRNA from 1 species
UACGUAGGGUGCAAGCGUUGUCCGGAAUUAUUGGGCGUAAAGAGCUCGUAGGCGGCUUGUCGCGUCGACUGUGAAAUCCCGCGGCUCAACUGCGGGUCUGCAGUCGAUACGGGCAGGCUAGAGUUCGGUAGGGGAGACUGGAAUUCCUGGUGUAGCGGUGAAAUGCGCAGAUAUCGGGAGGAACACCGGUGGCGAAGGCGGUUCUCUGGGCCUUACCUGACGCUGAGGAGCGAAAGCGUGGGGAGCGAACAGG